CUUUGAAUAACUGGGUCAAAUGGUGAUUCCAUUCCUAGUUUUUUGAGGAAUCUCCAGAGUGGUUGAACCAUUUUGUAUUCCCACCAGCAAU
rnacentral:pre_miRNA from 1 species